UGGGAGCUAAGCUAUAUACAUAACCAAGCUUAUGUAUGCAUCUGCAUACCCAUAGCUUAGCUCCCA
rnacentral:miRNA from 1 species